GAUGAACGCUGGCGGCGUGCCUAAUACAUGCAAGUCGAGCGAACGGACGAGAAGCUUGCUUCUCUGAUGUUAGCGGCGGACGGGUGAGUAACACGUGGAUAAACUACCUAUAAGACUGGGAUAACUUCGGGAAACCGGAGCUAAUACCGGAUGAUAUUUUGAACCGCAUGGUUCAAAAGUGAAAGACGGUCUUGCUGUCACUUAUAGAUGGAUCCGCGCUGCAUUAGCUAGUUGGUAAGGUAACGGCUUACCAAGGCAACGAUGCAUAGCCGACCUGAGAGGGUGAUCGGCCACACUGGAACUGAGACACGGUCCAGACUCCUACGGGAGGCAGCAGUAGGGAAUCUUCCGCAAUGGGCGAAAGCCUGACGGAGCAACGCCGCGUGAGUGAUGAAGGUCUUCGGAUCGUAAAACUCUGUUAUUAGGGAAGAACAUAUGUGUAAGUAACUGUGCACAUCUUGACGGUACCUAAUCAGAAAGCCACGGCUAACUACGUG
rnacentral:rRNA from 1 species